GCAGACACAUUCCAGCCAAUCAGCAGCAGACCCUCCCUCCCAGACCCUCCCACCUCCUGGACAGCUCACUAAGAAUGCAGCUUCACAAUGAAUGUAAAAUGGAUGCUGUCCAGGAGGUUGGAGGGUCUUGGAGGGAGGGUCUGCUGCAGAUUGGCUUGAAUGUGUCU
rnacentral:miRNA from 1 species